rnacentral:rRNA from 1 species
UACGGAGGGGGCUAGCGUUGUUCGGAAUUACUGGGCGUAAAGCGCACGUAGGCGGCUUUGCAAGUUAGAGGUGAAAGCCCGGGGCUCAACUCCGGAAUUGCCUUUAAAACUGCAUCGCUAGAAUUGUGGAGAGGUAAGUGGAAUUCCGAGUGUAGAGGUGAAAUUCGUAGAUAUUCGGAAGAACACCAGUGGCGAAGGCGGUGGUCUGGGCCGGAACUGACGCUGUAGAGCGAAAGCGUGGGGAGCGAACAGG